rnacentral:rRNA from 1 species
ACGGAAGGCAGCAGUAGGGAAUCUUCCACAAUGGACGCAAGUCUGAUGGAGCAACGCCGCGUGAAUGAAGAAGGCCUUCGGGUCGUAAAAUUCUGUUGUUAGAGAAGAACAUGCAGGAGAGUAACUGUUCUUGUAUUGACGGUAUCUAACCAGAAAGCCACGGCUAACUACGUGCCAGCAGCCGCGGUAAUACGUAGGUGGCAAGCGUUGUCCGUAUUUAUUGGGCGUAAAGGGAACGCAGGCGGUUUUUUAAGUCUGAUGUGAAAGCCUUCGGCUCAACCGAAGAAUUGCAUUGGAAACUGGAAGACUUGAGUGCAGAAGAGGAGAGUGGAACUCCAUGUGGAGCGGUGGAAUGCGUAGAUAUAUGGAAGAACACCAGUGGCGAAAGCGGCGCUCUGGUCUGUAACUGACGCUGAGGUUCGAAAGCGUGGGGAGCAAACAGGAUUAGAUACCCU